CAGAAGUUUGGAUAACGCUGCAAUCUGAAAAAAAAAAAAAAAAAAAGGUGUAAAGAGGUGGUAACUUCACGAGCUACCACCUUAUGUGUACGUUACCUCACGUACGUAACUGACCUCGUUGCCACCUUCAUUGUAGGGUGUUAAAAUCCUGCAAGUUUUGUGACUGUGUGCAUUUAACACAAAUUGUGCGUCUCUUCCAGUGUUGCGGAUUUGAAUCCACGGAUUUUAUUUAAAUCCGGAUUUAAAUCCACCGGAGGGCUGGCGGAUUUGAUUUGCGAUUUGAUUUGCGCAAAAAAAUAUGGGCAGGAUUUGGAUUUGGAUUGAAUCGCAUUUUCCACUAAUGAUUUGGAUUUGGAUUGAAUCGCAUUUUCCACGAAUGAUUUGGAUUUGGAUUCAAUCGCCCCUUUUUCAGCGGAUUUGCGCGUGAAUUUCGCCAAGCUCCCUCACAAGAUGCAUAAAUUUUAAAUUGAGCGAAGCGCCGUUUCGCAUUCUACACGAACUGAUGUGACCUUGUCUGAAAUCUGCACACGCACCCAAGCAGCAAAAUGCACUGAAAGUCGAGUGCAAUAGGGGUGGACGGGUAGAUGAAAGGCCUUGAACAGAUUCAUGAAACUAUAGAACAUUGAUAAGACACAUAUCGUCCACCCCUAAUGCACUCGACUUCCAGUACAUUGUGCUGCUUGGGCACUAGCGGCGUCCUCUCUCCACAGUGGCAGGAGUAGUCGUUUUGUUCCAAUCACAAUCACCGAGGGAACCCGUUUCAUGCUUGCCAAAUCAUGUCGCGAAAUUCUUGGUCUUCGCCAUCAUAUUGAACGCAUAUAGGUACACGCAUUCACGUCAAAACAAAGUAAACACGAAUAUAUCACAUCCUAUCAUUUCGUGAUUUCGGGAAUUAAAGCCUUUCCUACUCCCACGGACAAUCAAGGCAAGAUGUGCCACUCUUCCUCGCAUACCUUUUUUUUCUUCCUUGAUUACAACAGCCUGGACUGCGCGAGGAAAAUUUUUACAAAGCCCCGAAACGUCAGCAUCAAAAUAGACCCAUGGGCUCAGGGGCGGAUUUAAGGGUCUAUGUUGGAGCUGGGGGGGGGGGGCGGUCUUAAGGAAAUUUCGUGCUUUGCGGCGUAGCAUCGUCCAGGAGACAGGGUUUUUACAUAGGGAACACGACCGUAUGGGAGGCGGUCGCCCCCCCACCCCCAUCCCACCCCCUUAAAUCCGCUCCUGCCACAUGUUUAGUAUAAGUAUUCGUAACAUGCCCCACGAUUUAUUAACUAUUCAUUUAAUUGUGACCCCCAGGGUAUAGUAACCAACGACCUGUGAUCUUUCGAGUACUGAUGGUAGAAAUCGACGCAGGCGUGUGUUUUUGUGCGUAGCUGAGCCUAGGCCCGCGAUAGGAAUUCCUUCACUCAGGCGUGUUCGCCCGGUGUUAAAUGACGAGGAGGUUCCUGACCCAAAAUCCGCUUUUGGGAAGGUGUACCAUACCUACCAACUCCACACUAUUCAUGCCCUGUGAAGCCCGAGUCAACACCAACACGAUACGUGAUGAUGGAGGUGGGGGUUGUGCACCGCCCCUCCCAGAGCGAGUCAUCUACGAUUCAAUGCACUUUUAGUAUCACUUUUUCUAUUUUGAUAUAACACAAAAAUUUAAGGGCACUUAACGAAUUACGUGUUGGCAAUGCAACAGAAAGUGCGGCUGAUUUUCGAUAAAGUUUUACUAUUUUCUUUUUGGAUGCCUUCAACUCAACUCCCAUCAUUCAUUCAUUACAUGUAGUUUCGUUGGGCUUCCCUUUGCGCACCUCUUCCACUGGCAUUGCGCAAUUCCGCGCGCCGGGGUGGCCAGCUGUCGUCUACGCGCCGGCGAGCAGAGCCGUCUGAACCAACGGGGAAUUAAAUGACGGAGCACGAGUUUUUCUUCGUGAGGAGGAAUCUAAUGCUAUCACACUGCAGGCCGACGCAGCUCUGGGCUCGGGCAAUGCUCGGGACUGCCUAGCUCUGGGGGAAGUACUCAUGCCCUCCAAAACGCGGCCGGUGUUAGCUUCCAGCUAAUCGUACGGCGGCUGGUCGCACGUGAAAUACGACAUCCACAUUCAACGAUCCAACGAUCCGAAAUGGCUGCGCGUCUUCAACCUUUAAGAAGGAGCACGCUCGGCAUGCCCGUUGCCCGCAAGGGGCGUGGGAACGCUAGAGGUGACACAGUCAGGCCGCCUUCUGUCCACUCUUGGGUAGUUCCUUUUUAAAUUGAAAAGCGUGGGAAACUGACAAUUUUUAAUUUCCAUGAAAAAAUAUUUAUGUUAGAUAGCAUCUCGAUUGAUGACAAAUGCAACAAUUUCGAACUCCAUCCGAUGAACCGUUUCUGAUAUGGAGAGGCGGAAGGUUGCGGCGGCGUAUGUUGGUUCGAAUUUUUUCCCAACUUUGACCUCAUAGCAACGCGCUUCUUGUUUUACCACAUCCUUCAAAUUUGGCUGAUAAAAACUAUGGGUUAAGACAGCACGCGGAAAAAGUCCCGUGACUCCUACUUUAAAGGGGCGCUACGAACAAAUUCACGAACACAGCACUUCCGGCAAAAAAUGUACGAUUUGGAACUUUUAUUGUUCAUGAGCGGGUACACGCAUUCCCUUGAAGGUAGAUUCAUUAGAACUGCUAACUCAUCCUUUAUCGAGUGGUAUAGAUAUCAUUUAUAUAGCUCCUGUGGUAGAGCGAGCAGACGGCUGUAAGUAGAAGCAACUCGCCAAAUUGCUCCCCCCCAAUCGCCCCCAAAACGUGAGUUUAUACAUUGAAUUUCCCUCUCCCCCCUCCCCCACUACGCGCUCCGACAAAGGAACCGCCCCCCAAACCGAGCGUCUGGAUCCGCGCCUGAUCCUGACCUGACCUUACCUGAUCCGCGCCUGACGUAUCAGCCUGACACAGGCUGAUACGUGGUGACUGAUAGUCUGGUACCAUGCCGAGCAGGCGUAACCGAAAACGUCCUAAAAUAUGAAUAAAAUUUCGGCCAGCGGAUUGAUAGGUUGGCCUUUUAAUCCUUCAAUCAGACGAAAUUUAUUGCUCUUUGUGCCACGUCACGCUGUUAUUUAAGCGUUGUUUAGUGAAUACGUGCAGUAUUUAGACACGGUUAUAGGUCUAGUAAUGCUGCUGCACGAAUUUUGGCUCCCGGAUUUGUCAAAAGAUUCGAUAAAUCCGGAUUUAAAAGCGGAUUUGAUUUAGGUCCGGGAAAACAAAUUCGGAUUUAAAAGGAUUUGAUUUAACGUGUCAAAAUUAAAUCCGGACUUGAUUUUGUAUUUGAUUUACUACCUUCAGAAAAAAUGCGGAUUUGAUUUAAAUCCGAUUUGAGCGGCCAAAUCCGCAACAGUGGUCUCUUCAGCCGCCCUCGGUUGCUCAGUCGGUACCGUGUCGGCCUGCUGAACCCAAGAUCGCGGGUUCAAACCCGACCGCAGACGGUGGCAACUUGGUGGAAGGGUACAAGUUGUUCAGAAGCGCCGUCUUCGGCGGGGGACGUUAAAUGUGGUGUACCAUGGGUUGAGAUUUCGUCGCAUGUCAAAAGAACCCUCAGGAAGGCAAUAUUAAUCCACAGACCCGAUCACUGCGGCGUCGCUCAUGAUCGCAGUUGUCUCGCGACCUAAAGCCCCGAAUUAUUAUUAUUACACCCUCUAUAGGUGGCAGAGUUACCUGCUGCUUAUGGUAAUGUUACACCCUUGCAUGGGGGUGUAACCAUGCACCCAUAACCAGGAGUGUGCAAUCUUCUGGGCGCAACAUAUGUAGCAGGCAAGGGUACCUAAAGGGUGUGACGAUUCCACCUUUUGUUCUCAGAGUGUGGCUUCGAGUAGCCACCCUUGACAGGAUUUUUCGAAUUGCUGGAGUCACGUGCUGACGGACUGGGUCACGUGACGUUACGUCAUACCUAACUCGCGGGUUACACGAGUUGAAUAAAAAAAAAACGUUCCCUUAAGAUCAACCGCUUUGCAUCAACCCUCCGUCGGCGAACGCCAUGUGCUCCUAAGGCGAGCGGUUUUGGUUUCGGUUGAUUUGCAUAGCGAAAUUUGGCGAAGGAUAUUUCACAGCACGGGCUCGUUUCAGGAUUUUUAAAAGCUUUCAACGAGGAUUGUCUCCCACUCUGCUGUCUCGCUUUUGGCGGAAAUCCCCUAACUAAAGAGUUGAUUAAUGAAUUUUAGUUAACUCGUCAUCUUGUGGUUCAAUGCUCUCUUCGAGAAGAUGUCCACCUGGCCUUAAAGUUAAAAAAAGACGUUUAUGCUGCUCUCAUAUUCCUGCAUAUCCAAAUUCGUACGAAAACCCGUAUGCCAGAAAAUUGACACAAAAAUGAUAUCGUUCUCGUCAAGACAGUAAAAGUAAGUAUUUUGCCGCCACUGUCUUUACGUGGCUGUCAACACGGCGUGGUAUAAUAAUUAUGUCCAACAAGCCAGGUGAAGAAUAACAAACCAUAAACUGGAAGGCGAAGACCAGUGAUACUAGCUAGAGCUGACACGCAACUAUGUAUCAGUAGAGUACAAGCAUACGAGGAGCUGUGAAAUGAAAAUUAGAAGUGCUCCAAGCCCCGCCUAAUUAAUCGAAAAGUCUAUCAGGGGGAUCAUGCAAAAUACUUUCGUAAGACGCUGUGGUACUCCGCAGUUCAAUUUACAAAAAUGACAGGAACAUGCAGGUGCGGUUCAUUUUGCUUCCCUGAGGUCAGGGGUAUUCUGUGAUGUAGCAGCUGCGAAGCGCUCACCGGAGACGUGUAUAAAAAAGGCGCCCACAAAAGAGGCUCGACGUGUCAAUCAAACUUGAGGGCUUUUCAUUGGUUGCAGUUUUCUAUGGGGCCGCCAUGACACCAAAAUUUCCCGAAAAUAACAGUGUAGCGAGAAAAUCGUGACAAUUUUUUUAAUCACAAAUUGCUUUAAUUGCGUUCUGCAAACAUAUGAUCUCUCGUAAAUAUCUUGGAAAUCACCUUUAAAUUACGCGAAAAGAACAUGUUUCUACGUCGUUCUUAGGCGUAGGAGAAAGUCCCAAGAAAAUCCCGAGGGAAUCGUUAGGAAAACGCCACUGAUGCAAAAAAUUUUGCGUCGUAUUAUGCCAUUUUAUUUACAUACACAUGUUGGCCCGUUUUUGUUCCACUACUUAUGAUUCGCAAUUAAACGGUCAUACCGGAAGCCGUCUCUGCUUCCAAAAAGCGGUUCUGCCGCUGUAUCGGUUCUGCUGGCCAACGGUUCUGGCGUUCAGCGUCUUCUCGAUAUCCUUUCUCCAUCGAGAGGGCUCCGAUAAAAGUGACAAAAUCUGCUUUGGUGUUAGGUCGCUAGAGAUAUCCGUUUCGGUCCAAUUCAAUUCAGUUUCCUGAAAAUGAUUGCACCCAAUAAAUAAGGGCCUGAAAUAAUAACGAAAUGCAUUUUCGCUGGUGAUUAGCCAGACACCUCAAAAUGCGGGUGGAGCUCCAGGUAUAGGCAAGCCCCAUUGAAGGGCACUACAUUUAGAAUACAUUUUUUGUCACAAUACUUUGUCAUGUGCCUCAUGACAUCUUCCUGAUAUCUGCCAGACAUUUUUUUUCACGAAUAUUUCGUUUACCUUCGUCAAGAUAUACGGUGGUACUACACGUAUGAAACCAGCGCACAAUUGGUGUCAAAACAUCACCUCGUACGAUGGUCUAGGAAACAGUUGCGUCCCUGCGUCAUGCAAUGCACGACAUUAUACAUUUCAUGUCAAAACAUCUCGUAUGAGACCUCGUAUGAUAGUCUAGAAAAUCCGAUCAACAAAGAACAAAGAUGUUGACCAGCACACGCUUCUUUUUCUUCACUUUGAUUUUCCCUCGCGCACCUUGGCGCGAAACGAGCGCGUUUGCACCGGCAUCCCCGGGACGGCGCUGCCUGAGCCGUCGGCUGACGUGGUUUCAAUGCAAUACCACUCCGCGUUUGAAGUACAGAAGGCGAAACGCGGGUGGUAUCAGCAUGAAACCACCGCCCUUCAAAGGGACUAUCGCAUCCGGGAACGUACGUAUGAUACCGAUUGGAUCAUGUUCGUCCUUGUUUCAGAGUUAACUUUGCCAAAUUUCUCUUCCGAAAACAGCAUACAUAUUAAGUAAACGAGUUUUAAAGGUUCGCAUUCCAUCUGCAACCAACACGAUGAUGCGUAAGCCAGGCACACGAAUGGGAGCGCAGCGAGUAGUAUAUGAUCAGCUCAAGUAUCCGGAAACUCACGCAGAGGCCUGGACGCCAUUAGUUAGCAAUUAGAGUUAAUUGGGACCUCCCACUGUAAUUAGGAUCAUUCAGUGAGUCAUUACACUAAUUGGGGAGCAUUUAAGACGUGUCCAGACCACAGUGUGAGUUGCCGGCUAGUUGAGCAGGUAAAAAAUAAAAAAUAGGUAGAAAAUCAAAUAAAAAGAUAGAAAUAGAGUGGAGAGAAGGAGUUUAGUUGAAGAACAAACACGCCAUCUUGAAGAAAGCGGUCCGGAACCGCCGCUGACCAUCGCUGGCCGAUGAUGCACAGAGGCAGGUUGGAAAGCAUCUUCAGCUGCGACCACCAGUUCCGGACAUCCUGUGACGUCAGCUGUGACGUCAUCAUGGCAUGUCUGGACAGGUUAGGACAGCUCUGGACAUGCAAGGAGAAAAACACUCAUAAUACAGAGGCUGGGAAAGCAAGAGUAAAUAUGCUAAUCAUCAAUAGCUAUCAACAAAAAGAAUCAGGCACAGAAGCAAAGCAGCCCACCACAACAGCAGUCACCGGGAGCGCAGACCGAUGCGACUGCUCCAUCCGACAGCCAGGCACAGAACUGGAUCAAAAUGCUUUUUUCUCCUCUAUAAAGUCACGCAUCAGCAGCACCCCUGGCGGUUACUUUCUCAACUAAUUUGAUGGCAAAAUUAUUAAGAAUCAUGCCAGCGGUACUCUCGUUCCCAAGGCAGAAGAAGAUAGAAAAUGACGGGGAUGCCCGGACAACAGCAACCAGCGCCUGACGUGCACGGGCAUGAAAAUCAUAAAAAAGGGGGGACAAAGUUAUCACGUGCGAAAGAAUUAGUUACACAACAAAUCAGCCCACCACAACAGGAGUCACGGGGAGCGCAGAACGAUGUGACUACUCCAUCAGACAGCCAGGCACAGAACUGACUCAUAAUGCUUUUUUAUCUUCUAUAAAGUUACGCAUCAGCAGCCCCCUUAGCAGUUACUUUCUCAACUAAUUUCAUGGCAAAGUUAUUAAGAAUCACGACAGCGCUACUCUCGUUCCCAAGGCAGAAGAAGAUAGAAAAUGGCGGGGAUGCCUAGACAACAGCAACCAGCGCCCCACAUGCACGGGCAUGAAAAUCGCAAAAAGGAGGGACAAAAUUGGCGAAAGGAUUAGUUACACAACAACUCAGCCCACCACAACAGGAGUCGCAGGGAGCGCAGAACGAUACAACCUUUCUAUCCGACAGCCAGGCAGAGAACUGAAUCGUAAUGCUUUUCAUUCCUCUGUAAAGUCAUGCAUCUGUCCCUCUUGCAGUUACUUUCUGAACUAAUUUAAUCGCAAAAUUAAUAAGAAUUGUUCUAGCACUAUUCCCAUUCAGGGCAGCACUAGCGUCAUCGUCAAGACAAGAAUGAUCAACAAGAAUCUUUCUUGUCAAAAAAGAAAAAAAUACAGAGCGUCACAAAGGAAAGCACACAGGUCGGAGCAUGUCAAGACACGUCAGGACAAAUCGCACGAGCGCUGGCCAACAGAGGAAAGCACACACUUGAACAGACUCACAAAAGACACUCACCGUCAUUGGACACUUACACUGCAUUCCCUCAUUCUAAAUUCCCUCGACACAAAAUCCACCAUUCACCAGUGACGAACCACACACCCAUACCCCAUCAGAGGCAAACAGAACCCUAUCGAAGCUACGCUUUUCCACUAAAGGCCGACACAAUUGCUAGGAACAGAAUUAGCGCGUCCACACCCGCCAGUGUCCAAGAGACAAGUGAAUCCUUGCGCCCUCUGCAGGCUUUGCUCAUUGGUCGUGACGUCAUUCUAUUGUCUCAGGGCUACACUGUUUUUUUCCACUAAUGCUCAACUGGACAAGAUCCACCUGAAACAAUAGAGCCGCGGCAUGACGUCAUCACCCAUGCAUGCAUGCACCUGCAUGGCUCAAGGACGCGUACGCUCUAGACAGCGGACCUGUUAUUUAUUGAAUCACUAUUCCAAGAUUAUUGCCUUUAUUCUGCUAUAACAGUUGCAUAGAAAACCUACUGCAGAAGAGCAAGCAUUCUUAUCCCAAUGACUUAGGAUAUUUUGUUCUUUUGCGUGUCGCAUUUACUAGCACCAUCAGUGGCUAAUAACGUGGACUAGGUACACAAAAGAUCAACACAGAGCAUGGUUAACAAGGAGCGCAGAACCAUGUGUCCCCUCCAUCUAAGAGUCAGGCUGAGAACUGAAUAAUGAUGCUUUCUUCCUCCUGAAAGUCACAUGCCAAUUCCCCUUGCGGUUAAUUUACGAACUAUAAUUUAAUCGCAAAAUUAUUAAGAAUCGUGGCAGUGGUACUCCCGUCCAGAUCAAGGGUGUGGAAACACUAUCGUCAUCAACUGCUCAUGCUCAACUGGACAUGGUCCACCUGAAACAAUAGAGCCGCGGCAUGACCCAAGCAUGCAACUACGUGGCUCAAGGACGCGUACACUGUAGACAGGGGACCUGUUACUUAUUGAACCAUUUUCCCAAUAUUAUUUCCUUUAUUCUACUAUAACGAUUGCAUAGGAAACAGAAAACAUGAGAGGUGAUUGUAGGAAUUAAGCAUUUCAUUCCCAAAGUCUUACUAAAUGAGACUUGCAAAAGAACAAAAUAUCUUAACACCAUCAAUGGCUACAUACAACAGCUAAUCGAGACAUGUCCAUCCCAUCCGAGAGCCAGGCAGAUAACUGAAUAAUGACGCUUUGUUCCUCCUGAAUAAAGCCACACACCCUUGCGGCUACUCUCUGAACUAAACGAAUAGCAAAAUUAUCAAGAACAGCUCUACUCCCAUUCAAGGCAGCACUAUCGACAAGACGAGAAUGUUCCUAGUCAAAAAGAAAAAAACUACAUGUGGAAGGAAAGCAUGGCAGAACAGGGGAGCUAUUCUCGUCAAAGUAAGCUACUUGCUUACUUUACACGUCACGAGCUGUUAGGCUGAGCCACCGCGACAAGCUCCGCCUGAACGCUCCUCCCAUUUCUAGGGACAUUUAUCCCCAGCGCAUACACAGCGUGUAGAGCAUCACAGCUUAUGAUCUACAGUGGCGCUGUGUACCGGAUUUAAAUAGGUUGCACGGUAACAAAGACGGAGAAACAGUAGUACAACGGGUUAUACGUGUUAAACAUGCAGAAAUACUAUUAUGACGUCGUAAUAUUAUUGUCGCUAUACAACUUUCCUCAUAAACGGAGGCUCUGACAAUUUUGGCGUGACAUGCUUGGCGGCGGGCUGCCGCCGCCGCCGCCGCUACGAACCGACAACGACGCCACUGCCGGACUGGCGUCCCGAUUUUCUCCAAAAAAGAAAGAAAGGAAGAGACGAUUUGUGAAUGUUUUGGUAGCGUUUUGACUUACCUUAGCCGAUUUUAGCUAAAUGCUUCUUUAUUGCAUUUUGUACACAAACUACUUGGCCUGAAACCAGCGAAACUAUGAUUUAGGCAUUCGGCCAUUCUGUUGUGUGACGGGGUACGUUGUAGCGGAAUGGUGAAAGUAGGUGUUUGGGCACAUUCCCUCCGAUGCCAAUACAUGGGUUAGUGGUGAUGUUGCCCACAUUUGUGAGGCCGACUACAGCUGGCUCAACAGCCACCACAUACGGACGACACCGAGCAAGCCGAAACCGAAACUGCGCGAUUCAGGACGGCGUGACCUUCGGAGUAACGACAUUAUCCUGGUGAAAAAAUGGUUAAUUAUGGCCAACUGAACAUGAACACACAUUUUUUUUCUCCAAAAGCGCGUUAAAGGAGCGCUGUCCUCCCUGCGCUCCUGUGUUGCGCAGUUUCGGUUUUGGUUGUGGUUACGCUCCUGCAUAGCGAAAUUCGAAGAUGAAUAUUUCAGCGUACGUGCUUGGUUCAAGGUUCACGCCUGAUGACUAAUUUCAAUCACCUUUAUCGUCAGCACGAUGUCGAUCCUGUUGUGCCCUGCAGUUUAUUUUCUAGUGCUGUGUAACCAAUUGUUCAUCUGUGCAUUAGGCGUGUGUGUGUGUGUUGCGUUUCUUAUUUCGUUUUAGCUUGGUGCGCACCAUUAAGUUGGUCUUCUUAAGUUCUUCAUGGGCAGUAACAAUAAACUUGAAAGUUGAAGGUUUUCUGUCUUUUUCUUUUUUCGAAAUAAAAUGGCCUGCAGCAGGGACUGUCUUGCAUUCUGCUGUCUCAAGCUGCAUGAAAAAUCAAAAAUAAGUAAAUCAAUGAGUUUCGGUAUUUAGUGGACUAGUUAUUGCUCGUUCUCUUCGAGAGAAUUUCCGACUGGUCGUGUGUAUGUAUGUUCAUAGUAAUAAUUUCUAGAUUUGCCUUGCGACGUAAGUAAAUGAGCAUGAGCGACACUACAGUGUCCGCACUGGUUCGUUGGAUAAUUUUGUUUUCCUAAGGGUUCUUCAAAGUACGCCGAGAUCGCAACAGUCGGCAUACCGUAUUUGACGUUCCACUGCAGCUGUCACGAAGUUUUUAGCGUCCUCUACGGGCAUCGAACCCGCGACCUUUGGUACAGAAGGCGAGCACGCUACCCACCAAGCCACCGAGGUGCAUUUUUAGAGGUAGAAGCUCCCUGCUAGAUGACUCAAUUGUCAAACCCCGAAAACAAAUAUUCUCAAAAAUUCUCAAAGAAGGACACCGUGUGAUAAUUAUGUGAAUAAUACUUCUGUGCUUAGCAGAUUUUAGCGCAAUAUAUUUGACUGGUCUUCCGCUCCGAUGUCAAUACAUGUAUGCAGAGUACAUCAACAGCGGUUUCUAGCGGAAUUGUUGAGGUGCUCUGGUGAUGUACACCCCUUUGGCAACGCUGGCCCCGUCACUUCGUCUCAUUUCAUAUCGUACCAUGUCGUCCGACGAAGCAGCUGCACCGACUACUCGGACCUCGAGGGUUCCCCAAAUUUCGCGGGAAAGGAUGGAAGCCCUAGUGAGCUACAUGGAGGCUCACCGCCACCUUGCAAAUCCCGCACACGAAAUGUCCGGGAACCCACGAGGUGGAGGGACCCUCGACGCACAGUGGAACGUGCUUACAGAAGUCCUAAAUAGGGGCCAAGGUAAAACGGUAUAAAGCGGCACUGGUAAGAUUACACGUCAAACAAGAAGCUUCUUCUUGUAUCAAGCCAGUGUGUAGAAGGUACGCUGAUGCAUGAGCCUUUUUCACUUCUGUGAAAUGUCGCCGCUCGUCCUGUCGUGUUCUUCGCUUGUGUUUGGUCUUCCCUGCGCUUUACCAUACCGAAAAUUUAUAAGCUUUCUGUCAUGGCCAUGUCAUACUGUCUGCAGUUUGGUCAUCCAUGGAGUCCUUCGUGUUCUAUGCAGCAUUUCAAUGUUCACUUCCCCACAGCAACCUCAGUCCCGCCACGGCUACGGAGGCGUCGGGAGGUCAUGGAGAGCCGCGUGGAUGAAUUGAUGGCGGGGUCCGCGGAACACAGGCAUGUCAUGCGAGAGCUCACCGAGCAAGUGGGUAGGUUGGCGCAUGGCCAGAAAACCCUGGCUGGCGCCAUGAACAACUUGGCGCAGGGUCAGGAGACCCUUAUCGCCGCCGUCAACAACUUGGCGCGCCAACAUGAGACCCGCCACAAUGAGAUUCUCUCCCUGUUCCGUAUGGCCCUCGCUGUGCUUGCCCCCGCAGCUCCUCCUCCCCGGCAGCCCUCGCACGAAUAACUGCGAGGCAGCAUGCCCUUACGGCAAACGUCGUCGAUGUAAAUAUUGUAAAUGUAAUGUAAAUAUUGUAAAUAUUAUGUAAAUAUUGUAAAUAUUAUGUAAAUAUUGUAAAUAUUAUGUAAAUAUUGUAAAUAUUAUGUAAAUAUUGUAAAUAUUAUGUAAAGUAUAGCGUAAACAAGUGUAAGUAAAUGCUUCCCUGAACAUA